rnacentral:rRNA from 1 species
GCGAGUGAAGCGGGAAGAGCUCAAAUUUUAAAUCAGUGUGCCAUCCAGGCGCAUCGAGUUGUAGUUUGAAGAGGCGUCUUCGCGUUCGUAACCGGCACAAGUCCUCUGGUACGAGGCGUCGUAGAGGGUGACAACCCCGUCCACGGCCGGCGCACCGGAUGCGUACGAUACGACCUCUAAGAGUCGAGUAGUUUGGGAUUGCUGCUCUAAACGGGUGGUAGACUCCAUCUAAGGCUAAAUAAAGGCGAGAGACCGAUAGCGAACAAGUACCGUGAGGGAAAGAUGAAAAGAACUCUGGAGAGAGAGUUAAAAGUACGUGAAAUUGUUGAAAGGGAAACGCUUGAAGCCAGUCGUGUCGGUGGAAUAUCAACGGCUAUGCGGGUGGAGGCUUUGCGUGCGGCAGGGUAAAACCGUCCGCGUAGAGUUUCGAAGUUCGUUCGCCGUGCACUAUUCCGCAUGGCAGGCCAGCGUCGGUUUCGGACGUCGUAAAACGGCCGGGGAAAGGUGGCCCCCGCGGGGGUGUUUACAGACCCUGGUCAAUGCGGCGUGCGGAACCGAGGAAUGCGGCGGCGACCCUUCUGGGCUUGGACCUUUCCUUUGGGUGGCGGCUCGUGCGUUCCGAGCUUGCUCGGGCGUGGGUGACCGUUCGCUCAAUCAGGGGAGCGAUCCGUACUCACCGCCAAGGACGC